AGGUGACGCUUGGUAGGGCGAGCGGCUGGCUGCAGUGUUUUGGCCGGCGCCUGGUCAGUCUUGCCCCACACACUCUGGUAGUAAGUGUUUCCGUAUUCCCGGCUGCUUCUCCCUGUACUAAGCACCGCCACACAUCACCAGAAAGCCACGAGUACGUAAGGGUGCAGAGCUUGAGAUACCACACGGAAGGGGGUGAAGGAGCGUUGGGGAUGCCUGAAGGAGGGAGAGUGAAGGAGGGAGGCUUGGAGGUGAAGGAAAUGCAGAAUAUACCUCUAAUACUGAACGCUUCUCUGCUCAGACCAUCCUUCAUUGAAUAUUUGAGCUGAGGCUUCGAGAUACGAGGUUGCAGAGGUUGGGAUACCACACGGAGAGGGGUGAAGGAGCCUUGGGGAUGCCUGAAGGAGGGGCAGUGAAGGAGGGAGGCCUGGAGGUGAAGGAAAUGCAGAAAAUUCCUUCAAUACUGAGCGCUUCUCUGGUCAGACUCCACUGAAUAUUUGGACCGAGGCUUCGAGAUACGAGAUGAGAAAUUCGCUUUUUAGUGUUUGAAGGCAGUUUUAAGUGUUUAUAGGUGUUUUUAGGCUGUUUUAAUGUUGUUUUGAGUAUUUUAGGUUUGUUGAAGGAAGGAGAAAUCUUAAAUACAGUUAUAAGGCCGAAGAAAGGCUUAAAUUGAAUGUUUUAAAGUUAGCCUAGUGUUUUUCUGUUACUUGUUUAUGCCAGGGGUGACAAUAAACAUUAAAAUUA